UGGACAUCUAGCUCAGUAGGUAAGAGCAGUCGGCUCAUAACCGAUCGGUCCGGGGUUCGAGUCCCUGGAUGUCCAG
rnacentral:tRNA from 1 species